UACGUAGGUGACCAGCGUUGUCCGGAUUUACUGGGCGUAAAGAGCGCGCAGGCGGUCGUUCAAGUCGAGUGUGAAAGCCCCCGGCUCAACUGGGGAGGGUCAUUCGAUACUGAUCGACUCGAAGGCAGGAGAGGGAAGUGGAAUUCCCGGUAUAGUGGUGAAAUGCGUAGAUAUCGGGAGGAACACCAGUGGCGAAGGCGACUUCCUGGCCUGUUCUUGACGCUGAGGCGCGAAAGCUAGGGGAGCAAACGGG
rnacentral:rRNA from 1 species